rnacentral:rRNA from 1 species
AUUGAACGCUGGCGGAAUGCUUUACACAUGCAAGUCGAACGGCAGCACGGGGCAACCUGGUGGCGAGUGGCGAACGGGUGAGUAAUACAUCGGAACGUGCCCAGUCGUGGGGGAUAACGUAGCGAAAGCUACGCUAAUACCGCAUACGAUCUACGGAUGAAAGCGGGGGACUCGCAAGAGCCUCGCGCGAUUGGAGCGGCCGAUGGCAGAUUAGGUAGUUGGUGGGGUAAAGGCUCACCAAGCCUGCGAUCUGUAGCUGGUCUGAGAGGACGACCAGCCACACUGGAACUGAGACACGGUCCAGACUCCUACGGGAGGCAGCAGUGGGGAUUUUGGACAAUGGGCGCAAGCCUGAUCCAGCCAUUCCGCGUGCAGGAUGAAGGCCCUAGGGUUGUAAAGCUCUUUCAGCUGGGAAGAUAAUGACGGUACCAGCAGAAGAAGCCCCGGCUAACUCCGUGCCAGCAGCCGCGGUAAAGUAGACGUCUC